ACGGCUACCACAUCCAAGGAAGGCAGCAGGCACGCAAAUUACCCACUCCCGGCACGGGGAGGUAGUGACAAAAAAUAACGAUACGGGACUCAUCCGAGGCCCCGUAAUCGGAAUGAGUACACUCUAAAUCCUUUAACAAGGAUCCAUUGGAGGGCAAGUCUGGUGCCAGCAGCCGCGGUAAUUCCAGCUCCAAUAGCGUAUAUUAAAGUUGUUGCGGUUAAAAAGCUCGUAGUUGGUUCUGUGUGCCACGCUGUCGGUUCACCGCCUGCCGGUGCAACUGGCAUGUCGUGGGAUGUCCUGCCGGAGGCGUUCUGUGAAACUUAAGUAUAGUAUCAAUAAUUUUAUUGGUUCUAUCUUUUGUCCUCAGUCGCCGAUUUAAUCCUGCCGUGGUGCUCUUCACCGAGUGUCGAGGUAGGCCGGCACGUUUACUUUGAACAAAUUAGAGUGCUCCUGCCUGAAUAGUGGUGCAUGGAAUAAUAGAACAGGACCUCGAUUCUAUUUUGUUGGUUUUCGGAAUUCGAGGUAAUGAUCAAUGUGGACAGUCGGGGGCAUUCGUAUUGCGACGUUAGACUUGGCAAAUGCUUUCGCGGUGAAAUUCUUGGAUCGUCGCAAGACGCACGAGAGCGAAAGCAUUUGCCAAGUAUGUCUUAGUUGAUCAAGAACGAAAGUUAGAGGUUCGAAGGCGAUCAGAUACCGCCCUAGUUCUAACCAUAAACGAUGCCAGCUAGCGAUCCGCCAAUGUUUAUAUCAUGACUCGGCGGGCAGCCCCCGGGAAACCAAAGCUUUUGGGUUCCGGGGGAAGUAUGGUUGCAAAGCUGAAACUUAAAGGAAUUGACGGAAGGGCACCACCAGGAGUGGAGCAUGCGGCUUAAUUUGACUCAACACGGGAAACCUCACCAGGCCCGGACAUUGGAAGGAUUGACAGAUUGAUAGCUCUUUCUUGAUUCAGUGGGUAGUGGRGARHYNCHUSSNAGNABDASCCACUCCCGGCACGGGGAGGUAGUGACAAAAAAUAACGAUACGGGACUCGUAUGAGGCCUCGUAAUCGGAAUGAGUACACUUUAAAUCCUUUAACAAGGAACCAUUGGAGGGCCAGUCUGGUGCCAGCAGCCGCGGUAAUUCCAGCUCCAAUAGCGUAUAUUAAAGUUGUUGCGGUUAAAAAGCUCGUAGUUGGUUUUGCGUGCCACGCUGUCGGUACACCGUUUGUCGGUGCAACUGGCAUGCCGUGGCAUGUCCUGUCGGUGGCGUCCGGGAGCCCGGCGGACCCCAGGCACCUGUCUGGUACGGGUCUCGCUCGCGGCCUUCCUGGCGCCGACUAUAUCCUACCGCGGUGCUCUUCACUGAGUGUCGAGGUAGGCCGACACGUUUACUUUGAACAAAUUAGAGUGCUUAAAGCAGGCUAAAAUCUCUGCCUGAAUACUAGUGCAUGGAAUAAUGGAACAGGACCUUGGUUCUAUUCUGUUGGUUUUCGGAACACAAGGUAAUGAUCAAUGUGGACAGGCGGGGGCAUUCGUAUUGCGACGUUAGACUUGGCAAAUGCUUUCGCGGUGAAAUUCUUGGAUCGUCGCAAGACGCACUAGAGCGAAAGCAUUUGCCAAGUAUGUCUUAAUUGAUCAAGAACGAAAGUUAGAGGUUCGAAGGCGAUCAGAUACCGCCCUAGUUCUAACCAUAAACGAUGUCAGCCAGCGAUCCGCCGAUGUUCCUCCGAUGACUCGGCGGGGAGCUUUCCCCGGGAAACCAAAGCUUUUGGGUUCCGGGGGAAGUAUGGUUGCAAAGCUGAAACUUAAAGGAAUUGACGGAAGGGCACCACCAGUAGUGGAGCCUGCGGCUUAAUUUGACUCAACACGGGAAACCUCACCAGGUCAGGACAUUGGAAGGAUUGACAGAUUGAUAGCUCUUUCUUGAUUCAGUGGGUAGUGGGCAUGGCCGUUC
rnacentral:rRNA from 1 species